ACACGAACCGGACAAACGUUAUUCGGAAUUAUUGGGCUUAAAGGGUGCGUAGGCGGCGCGGUAAGUGAGGUGUGAAAGCCCACGGCUCAACCGUGGAAUUGCGCUUCAUACUGCCGUGCUAGAGGGAGACAGAGGUAAGCGGAACUGAUGGUGGAGCGGUGAAAUGCGUUGAUAUUAUCAGGAACACCGGUGGCGAAAGCGGCUUACUGGGUCUCUUCUGACGCUGAGGCACGAAAGCUAGGGUAGCGAACGGGAUUAGAUACCCCAGUAGUCC
rnacentral:rRNA from 1 species